ACACUACGUAGAUAAUCAAGUGGGAAUGAAAUAUCCCCGUUCGAAGGAUUUAGCAUGUGCCCCCUAAUUCAAUCCGUUUGUUUUUUUACAUGAUGCAAUAAGCAAUGUUAAUAAAAGACUUUGAUAAUGCUCACAUAAAACUUUCAGUGUGUAUUGAGAAGUGCAAUCAUAUAAUGCAAUAUUUUCAUCCAAUCAUUAAAUUGUGAGAGAUAUAGAGUUAGAAAUUCUUCUCUUAUUGGGGGAGUCAACUCUUGCCCCCAUUGUAGCACGGGUGAGCCUUCAAUUAUAUAGUGUCCCUUGCUCCUUAAUAUGGCUUUUUGUACGGUUUCCACAGACGGCGCCAACUGUUGGAGCGGAAAAUUUCAGAUCCUCCAACAAUUUUUGAUUUCCAUGUUGAGAAGUCGGACACUAUCUUUGAUUAUCACCAUUGAGUGAGGAGGGGGCUACCAGCAAGAAAACACUCCGACGCUCAAGUCAGUGUUCGUUCAUGAAUACUGCAGUAAAAUCAAUCAUAA
rnacentral:lncRNA from 1 species